CUACGGGACGCUCCAGUAAGGAAUAUUGCGCAAUGGAGGCAACUCUGACGCAGCCAUGCCGCGUGCAGGAAGAAGGCCUUAUGGGUCGCAAACUGCUUUUAUUUAGGAAUAAACCCCCGAACGUGUUCGGGGCUGAAGGUACUAAACGAAUAAGCACCGGCUAACUCCGUGCCAGCAGCCGCGGUAAUACGGAGGGUGCAAGCGUUAUCCGGAUUUAUUGGGUUUAAAGGGUGCGCAGGCGGGCUAUUAAGUCAGUGGUGAAAUCCCGGGGCUCAACUCCGGAACUGCCAUUGAUACUGAUAGUCUUGAGUUUGGUUGAAGUGGGCGGAAUGUAGCAUGUAGCGGUGAAAUGCAUAGAUAUGCUACAGAACACCAAUCGCGAAGGCAGCUCACUAAGCCAAAACUGACGCUCAUGCACGAAAGCGUGGGGAUCAAACAGGAUUAGAUACCCGGGUAGUC
rnacentral:rRNA from 1 species